CAGCCGCCACGGUAAAACGUAGGUGGCAAGCGUUGUACGGAAUUAUUGGGCGUAAAGGGCUCGCAGGCGGUUUCUUAAGUCUGAUGUGAAAGCCCCCGGCUCAACCGGGGAGGGUCAUUGGAAACUGGGAAACUUGAGUGCAGAAGAGGAGAGUGGAAUUCCACGUGUAGCGGUGAAAUGCGUAGAGAUGUGGAGGAACACCAGUGGCGAAGGCGACUCUCUGGUCUGUAACUGACGCUGAGGAGCGAAAGCGUGGGGAGCGAACAGGAUUAGAUACCCCAGUAGUCCCGUCUCUUAUACA
rnacentral:rRNA from 1 species